GGCGAAUUACCCAAGUGGACUAAGGGGACCGUUUCGAAAACGGUUAGCAGGCUGUGAGGUCUGGCGUGGGUUCGAAUCCCACAUUCGCCGC
rnacentral:tRNA from 1 species